rnacentral:rRNA from 1 species
UACAGAGGGUGCGAGCGUUGUCCGGAAUCACUGGGCGUAAAGGGCGCGUAGGUGGUGACCUAAGCGUGCGGUGAAAGCCCGAGGCUCAACCUCGGGUCGGCCGUGCGAACUGGGUCACUGGAGCAGAAUAGAGGCAGGUGGAAUUCCGGGUGUAGCGGUGGAAUGCGUAGAGAUCCGGAAGAACACCGGGGGCGAAGGCGGCUCUCUGGACCGAAACUGACGCUGAGGCGCGAAAGCGUGGGGAGCAAACAGG